AACCUAAUUGUCUUCUUCUUUACUCUGAGUUCGGCGGCGAGUACGACGAUCGACUGUGCUCGAUUUUCCUGUAACGGAUAGCGACUUUAGUCACAUUAAUACAGACGCCCACUAAGAGCCUUUCAAUAGAUCUCUAAUCUCUGAAAGGUGAACUUAGGUGGAUUGAUAUGGUUUUGGUGGACUAGAAGUCCACGCUGAUUCAAGCAUCUAUUAGCGUCCACCGGUUGAACACAUUCCAACAACUGCUCAGAGAAAGAUGGACUUUUGAGCUUAGUGUAUUUGGCGUCACGCGGAGUAAUCAGUACUUCAAACUGACCACCGCACCCGUUUUAAUUAGAUUCACGGAACAAACCACCUUCGUCGAGAUAACAGAAUCUUUAUGGUCCGCAGCAAUGACGAACUGAUGUCACUUGCUAACACGAACAUCCACUUACCAGAUGUGUUGGUGGAGUCAAAACCACAUACAAUGAUGAAACACAGACAAUCCAGCUGAUAUGACCUACAUACGUCUUGAACGGUUUGCCCUGAGAUAGUCUAAUAAUGUAAUUAGACAUAUGGUGUAAUACAUAAUUAACUUACAACGUAAACUGCAGUACAUUAAGUUACAUAUGGUUCUUGCCAAAACGAAAACACCGUUGGUGUUCUAAGGUCAUGUGUUCUAUACACAACUUAUCAGCUAUCUGAACAGACGAUGCAAUACAUUAUUUAACCCAACAAUCCUAGACUACUUACAAACUAUUACUACUACAGGAACCGGGUGGAGUUUUCAGUCUUUGAUGGGUCAGAGUCAGCUGUCUUUGUGGCAUUUGAUGGUGAGAUGUGUAAGCUAACCAAUGCACAUCUUAUGGUGCAGGACACAGGUGUAGAGGACCACAACCGAAGAUCUCUCCCACAGUGUUUAAAGAACUUGGUUGGCAGUACUUUCACCUUCCAAGGGGUGAUAACAACCCAGGAGAUGACAUGCCCGGAGCUAGAGCAGUGGCUACUAAGCCCUCCAAAACCAUCACCAAAGUUCCCCCUGCAAAAUCCGCUAGUUGGGUGCCUGUGGAGAGAUGCAGCUGCUCAAAGAGGCGUCCAUGCAACUGUUGCUGGUGAAGUAACUAAUGAGGAAGAAGGAGUGCAGGAGGAUAGGCGCAUUGGAAAAAAACCACAAAAUUCUUAGUUUUCUAGCUUAACGAGUGGCUAAGUCUAUAAACCCUUGGAAUAAUGGUUUACGAUUUCAUUGUUUCCUUGCCUCUUUUCGUUGCUGGGUUUUUCACAUAUUAUUGUUGCUUGGUCUUGGUCACUAUGUUUCCUAUGGGGUCAACUUUUAAAAUAAACUCACAUUUUGAUA